AGCAGACAUUUGUGAGCUCGCAUGUCAGGGAAUCAUGGGAGGAAAUAAUAACCCUAAAAAUUUGGCCUUUGGUGUGUGUGUGUGCGUGUCUGUGUGCGCGCGUGCGUGCGCGAGGUAGAGAGUGUGUGUGUGUGAGAGUGUGUGUGUGUGUGUGUGUGUGUGUGUGUGUGAGAGAGAGAGAGAGAGAGAGAGAGAGAGAGAGAGAGAGAGAAAUUUAAUGCAAUGGAGAAGAUAUGCAGCAAAUGCUGCUGGGACAUUUAACGUAUGCUUCCAGUGCUGAUUCAGCCUCACUUUUCAAACUGAUACAAAUGGAACCCUUCAAUAUGGAUUUCCUCUGAGCCGUCACACCCGCAUUCCCCCCCCAUUCCGAGGACCACAGAAGCCCCCAGCGUGGCAUCAUUCGUGGGUUACCGUAUGACCCAGGGGUUAUUCAGAGUGCCUUGCGGACGGGUCUUGUCUGAGAUGUUAAGACACUGACAGACGGUUCCGGUCACCUUCUCCACCAAAAUCGGCCCUUUGGUCUGGGAAUGCCCUCUUCUACAAGGAAGCUCCCCGUUCUUCCCCAGGCAGGCGUGACCUCAUGGUGGCGGUUAAUGUGGCCUAGUGAGGAGCCCCUUUUGACUCCGUGGGUGAUCCGGGAAAGGGUCGCGACCUGCGUGCGCGUUGCGGGCACUGAGGACUCUUUCCGUAUGAGAAUUUAAUAGAGAGAUUGUAAAGGGGGCUCUUACUGCUACUGUCCAAAAUAGCCGAUGAUCGCUAUUGAAAGAAUAAAAAGAACCGGAUGAAGGCACCGAGGAUGAGAUUUUCCUGCAAUAGCAGUUUCAUCGAGCGUCCAGAAUAUGGGACAGGAUUCAGCAAUUGGGUGACCGGUACAGAAGAGCGUGCCUGUUCCGAUAGAGAUCGGAUGGGCUGAGGAUGAUCGGCUGAAAGUUCGGUGGCUCUGAAGCUUAAGCGAGGAUCUCCUCGCGGAAACCGAGACGAAGCCGCCGCGGCCCCCGUCACGGCCGAUCGGACGCGGCCUCAAACCGGAACUGACGAGGAGAAGGAAGACGGACGUUACAGCGGGCAGAAAACACGUCGGUGUCCAUUAACGGCCAGCGGCAACGGUAUAGACAGCGGGUGAUAUGGAUGACCUACGGUGCACGCCACGCCCACAGACAGUGCGGGCCACACCCACCCUCCCUAGGCCACGCCCACCCUCCCUAGUCCGCCGCAACGGUUUGUACAGGGGAUGGCGCUGAAGACGGACAGUGCACGCCACGCCCACAGACAGUACGGGCCACGCCCACCCGCUCCAUGCUGAACCGGGACAGCGCGGGUUCUGCUUCUGCCAGAGGAGAAUUUAUUUUAUUUUUUAAUUCUUUAUUUAUUUUUAUUUUAUUUUAUUUUCUACUUAUUUAUUAUUUAUUUUAUUUUAUUUUAUUUUCCUACUUAUUUUAUUUUAUUUAUAUUUGGUAUAGUUUAUUUUUUAUAUAUUUUUUAUUAUUUUUUAUUUUAUUCAUAUUCAUUUUUAUUUUAUCUUAUAUUACUUAUUUUUAUUUUAUUUAAUUUAUUUUCUAUUCAUUUUUAUUUUAUUUUAUUUCAUUCAUUCUCUUGUUGUCCCAAGACACUGAGGAAAUAAACUUGGACAGAGGUUGAGAUACUUUAGGACUUUUAAUAUAUAUAUAUAUAUAUACAUAUAUGUGUAUAUAUAUAUUUAAUAGACAUAAAGUUUUCUUGAAUAUGUAUAAAAUAAAUGAUAUAGAAAUAAAUAAAAUAUAUAAAUACAUAAUAAAUAAAAUAUACAUAUUUAUAUAUUUAUAUAUUUUUCACGUUUCCCUGCGGGCUCAUCGCUCUGCUGACGUCUUGUAUCGAUUUCC
ensembl:lncRNA